CCUACGGGGAGCAGCAGUCGAGAAUCAUUCACAAUGGGGGAAACCCUGAUGGGGCGACGCCGCGUGGGGGAAUGAAGGUCUACGGAUUGUAAACCCCUGUCAUGUGGGAGCAAAUUAAAAAGAGAGUACAACAAGAGGAAGAGACGGCUAACUCUGUGCCAGCAGCCGCGGGAAUACAGAGGUCUCAAGCGUUGUUCGGAAUCACUGGGCGUAAGGGGUGAGGAGGCUGUUUCGUAAUUUCGGUGUGAAAGGCGCGGGCUCAACCCGCGGACGGAACAUGAUACUGCGAGGCUAGAGUAAUGGAGGGGGAACCGGAAUUCUCGGUGUAGCAGUGAAAUGUGUAGAUAUCGAGAGGAACACUCGUGGCGAAGGCGGGUUCCUGGACCUUAACUGACGCUGAGGCACGAAGGCCAGGGGAGCGAAAGGGAUUAGAUACCCGAGUAGUC
rnacentral:rRNA from 1 species